AUCACACGUUACAUAUUACAGUUAUAAAAAUUCUUUCCUAUACUCCUAUUACACACCGGCUGCAUCAUCAAAGGUGAAUGAGUAAAAGAAAGAAGAAAAUAAAUAGGAGAAAGAAAGGAAAUAGGGAGGAAAUAGGAGAAGAAACAAAAGAGAGAGGAGGCGUGCGUGUGUAAAGCAGCAACAGCUCUGCCACAGCCGCCCAACUCUACCAAUCCCCUUCUCCCUACACCCUACCCCUAUUCCUUAGCAGCUGCCAGCCGCCCCACUUCACCAAUCUGUUAGUCAAAGGUUCUACAAUUUUUUCAAGUUUGGCAGCAACUCUUUCCAUUUUUGCUGCUUGCAGCAACAUUCCCUUUUGUCAACAUUUGCUGCCAACAACUCUUCCCAUAUAAUCUCAUUAUCAGCCAGCAACUCCCUCAUAUUUUCUUUCCUCGUGCGCUGUCAUUCAAAGGGGAGGAAUUGAUUCAGCUGCUGUCAAGCUGGAAGAGUAUUUCCCCACUGUAUUCAACAACGCCAACCAAAAGAACAAACAUUGCAAGGUAUUCAUUAUUUCAAUUUAUUCAAGUUCCGGCUAUAUGCAGCAUAUGCCCAGUUUUAGAAAUGCAUAGUAUGAGAGGAGAAGCAUGACCAUAUUAUCGAGAUAGAACUCACUAGCAAACCAACAGAUUAUAUGAACUCAUUUUUAUGAGAAACAUAAGCAGAGAUAAUUACAGCAAGAUAGAGAGUAAUACUUCCCUCUUAUGCUUAGAACCGAGCCAUUUGGGGCUCGGCUUAAGACGAGUUCAGCCGAGAGUCGCGAGGGAGAGGAGAGGCUAGAUAAUUGUCGAACAGAGGGAUUUAAGAGAGUGAGAGACAGACGGAUUGAAGAGAGAGGGAGGUACCGGCGGCGGUCAGCGAAGCUACCGGCAGCGACUCGCCGGUACUCCAAUGGCUUGAUGUCGGCUUCACCGGAAAGGGAACUGCGGCGGCCGACACCUCGGCUGGAGGCGUGAUCGAGAGAGAGAGAGACCCGAGGACAGCAGCCACGGCGUUACCAAACUGGAGGGGACGAGGCCGACCGGUACCAGGACAACAGCAGCGGAUCGGCGAGCCUUUCACUUGCCGCCGGGAGGAACAGCGGCAACAGUCCAAGGGCAGCAGCGGCGCGAUGAGGGCGUCGGACACUCCCCUGCUCGCCGGCCUUCACAAGGCGGCGGCGGAACUUCAGCGUGAGGGAGAGAGACCGGAACCGAUGGCCGCUGAACAGCCGAGGAAGAGGGCCGAUCAGAUCUUGGCCGAGAAAGAGAGAGAGCGGCCGGAAGGAGAGGAGGCCGACGGGCUCCAGGCCGGAGCAACGCCGCUCCCAGACGGCGACCGGCCGCCCAAUUUCGAAAGGGUAGAAGCAGCAGCAGCAAUGAUUCCUUGAGAAUCAGGGCUCGAUGUUGGGGGAGGAAAGAGGACGGCGCCGGGGCUUUGACGCGUCGACAGAUGACGCCGGCCGAAGCAAGUGACGGAUGAACGGCCGGAGGAGGCGCAGCGACCAGAACUUGGCCGAGAGAGAGAGAGAUUGGCUUUGGGGUGAACGGCUCCAACAGAGAGAGAAAGAGGAGGACCGACAGUUUUUGAGAAGAGAGAGAGAGUGGGCUUGAUAAAUUUUAAUUUUAUUGGGCUUCUUUCACUUAUUUUUUUUAUUUGGGCUCUUUUAUUUUAAUUGGGCUUUCUUUAUUGUAAUUGGGC
rnacentral:lncRNA from 1 species